AUUAAACGCUGGCGGCAUGCCUUACACAUGCAAGUCGAACGGCAGCACGGGGGCAACCCUGGUGGCGAGUGGCGGACGGGUGAGUAAAGCAUCGGAACGUAUCCUGGAGUGGGGGAUAACGUAGCGAAAGUUACGCUAAUACCGCAUAUUCUGUGAGCAGGAAAGCAGGGGAUCGCAAGACCUUGCGCUCUGGGAGCGGCCGAUGUCGGAUUAGCUAGUUGGUGGGGUAAAGGCCUACCAAGGCGACGAUCCGUAGCGGGUCUGAGAGGAUGAUCCGCCACACUGGGACUGAGACACGGCCCAGACUCCUACGGGAGGCAGCAGUGGGGAAUUUUGGACAAUGGGCGCAAGCCUGAUCCAGCCAUGCCGCGUGAGUGAAGAA
rnacentral:rRNA from 1 species